CCGACGGGCCGUGACUGGCGCGCUGGGAUGGGAUGAACCAUCGGGGAGCGGCCCCUGGACCUUGUCCAGCACCGAGUGCCGUGCGCCUGGGCCGUACCG
rnacentral:ncRNA from 2 species